GCCGCCGCGGCUGCGCCGGGCCAACUGGGCCAGCGGCCCGAGGGCGGCCCUGGAAGUGCCGCGGCGAGCCUGGGACUGCCGGCUCCGCCUGCUCCUGUAAUCGGGCCGUGAAAGCGCCCGGCUAGUGCCACACGGACAGCCGGCCGGCCUGCAGCUCCUGCUGGGGAGCCAAGCGGGCAGGAGGUGCCCCCCUAAGCCGCUUCACUCUACCGCCACCACCGCCACCACCCUGCCCGGCUUUAACGUCACCAUUAUAAACGCCCUUUACAUGGGUGUCACGUAUCCGUGGCCAUCCGCCCGCUGGCGUCUGGCGCUGUCACUGCGAGCCGCUGUCACUGCAGCGCUGCGCUGGCUCACGAAGGGCUCCGGAGGGUUUGCGCUCUGUUUCGGUGUUUACUCAGAAUAAAUUCUUGGAGCAGGUUUCCGGCUGCGGAGCUGGGCUUUGGCUGUUGGCUGGAAUGCCCAGAAGAAACGAUUGCCCUGAAUGCUGUUCGAUCAACUCCCUGACACAACAGGGCCUGCUGGCUACCUUGGUGUCAUAUUGGCUUUGUAAAACUUAAGCCAGGCUGCCUGCAAGGAUUACACCAAUGGACAGAGACAGAUCUUGGGAAUGCUUCAAGCAGCAGGAUCCAGGACCUACCUGCCGAAAUAACUUCUAUGUCAAACCAAACAAUUCCAGGGGCAGAUUUCUGAGACUUCACUGUGGACUUCCAUCUCCUUCCUGUGCUCAUAAACCUCCAGCAAGCUUGGUAAGAUUAGCACUUCUGUGGUGGUUACGUGUGCAUCACCUCACUGAGCAUCUCAUGGCAUCAGUCUUAGCCACAAGCAUUCUAAGGAUCUGAGCCUGACUUCCCUCUGAUUGCCACGUUCACACCAAUGAAGAAUGAACUUUGAUAAAACAGAACAAGUGCAGCAGUGCUGGAAUGAGAGCCAACUCAAAUGUGCACCAUACAACAAUACAACACCGUACAUCAUCUUUCCUGCUUGAAGAACUGUUAUCAAAGAUGAAGGCCAAAGUCAUGGAGUAAAAGAAUGCAAUAAACUUUUUUUUUGCAUGUGUGUGUGUGUGUGGACAUUUUAUGAAUAUUUGAUAGAGGCAUUCCAUAGACUAAGAGAAUUAGUUUGUAUGUAUACCUGUCAAAACACAUGAAUAGGGAAGGUGAUGGGAUAUUGGGCAGUGUGAAACUUGGCAUGAUAUAAUGGUGUGAAAAAAGGGGUGGAUGUUGUCCUGGUUUCAGUUAAGGUAGAGUUAAUUUCUUCUCAGUAGCUAUUACAGUGCUGUGUUUUGGACUUUAAUGAGAAUGUUGUUGAUAACACACUGAUGUUUUGGUUUUUUCUAAGUGGUUUAUCCCUAGCCAAGGACUUUUUUUUCCCCCUUCUGUCUUGCUGUGCCAGUGAGGAGGUAAGCAAAAGAAACUGGGAGGGAGCACAGCUGGGACUGGUGAUCCAAGCUGACCAGAGGGAUAUUCCACACCAUAGAAUGUCAUGUGCAGUAUAUAAACUGGGGGAGUUACCUGGAAGGACAGUUGAUCUGGG